GCGGCUGUCUGCCGCUGGCCCCACCCUAGCAGCGAGCCCUCCAACUGGCCAUGCACAGCGCUCUGGCCCUCGGAGAUGUGGAGCUACGCCGGUCCCGAAGCCCGACAUUUUCCGUAUCAAUACAAGAGGGGUAGAGCAGCAGAUUAUCCCCGCCCACCCCACCUCAGUUAAGGCAGAACUUCAGUCUUGGAGGGAUAUGCCUUGCCAGUCUCCGGAGUGAUGGGACACUUCACUGGGCCCUUCCAAAGUUCAGAUGAAACACCAUCCUCCCAACAUUUUUAUUUCUCCUGUUUGGAUUCCAUCAUAGAAUUUAUUAAAUAAGCUAUUGAGAAAUAAUUUGACUUCUUAAGUACCACUGAAAGGGGGACCGCUAUGUCCUAGAUAGAGGGAUAGAAUCUGGCACUUAAAUAAGAAGAGAUGGCUCCCUUUGUACGGCUUAAAGUGUCUGUAGGGUUUGUGGAACAAUUUCCCAUCAAUCUUUCCAAGUGCAAAUCUGCUAUUGGACUCUACCUGCCCGUGAGAUGACAAGACCAAACCCAGAUGUUUGAUCACAAUAAGGAGACCUAGAGCCCUGGAGUGAAAGGCAAUGCUGUGCAGCGGUCAUUAGCUCAGACAAUGCAGCCAGCCUGGAUUUGAAUCAAAGCUCUGUCACGUGAGACUUUCACUUCACCUGUCUGUGCCUCCAUUUCCUCACCCGAUGGCACCUACCUCUUGGGAUAUUGGGAGGAUUGCCUGAGACUUGAAAGGAUGGGAAGACAAGAAUAUUGAAAGACUAGCAUUCUAAAAGAAGAUCCUUCCGUUUCUUAGGUUUCAGUAUGAUACAUUCAAAUUUUUCAUCACAAAGCCCAUUGUUUUCAGAAGAGUAGCUGCUUCUCAUGGGUGAAGUAGAGGAUCCCGGGAGAAGCCAGAGAGACUGGGGAGUGGAGUGCAGGGCCGGCGCGGUUGCAGGCUGUGAGGUGAGGGACAGGGUUCAGCAUGUGGCUGAGGCACGUGAUAGGAGCUUUAGAAAGCUCAGGGGGGAAGCAAAGAGGCAGAUGUUGCAGGACAGUGGAGCUGCAAGAAAAACUAACAGCUGGGUCUAAGUAGAACUGCUCCAGCAGCCUCUCCUCCCCCCACCCCUUAUUGAGUGGUUUCUAAGUGCAAGCAGGGAAGAACCAUAACAGAAUUACUGUGUUUCUCUAACCCAGGAAAGGAAAUCCAACACUCUGGUGCAUUUACCCUGUGAACAGGCUUCGUUUUAUUCCAGGGGAAAGGAACUGAAAUUUCACUGUAGGCAAGAUAGCUGUUUCUGCUGCAGAAACAUUGAGAAUACCCCUAACAGAAUGUAACUCUUAAUCAGGGUUGUUUAUUCACACUGGGAGCCACCGCAGGUCACGCUGCUUGCUUGGUGCCGUUUGGUCUGCCCUGAGCCUUCCUGGACAGGAAGUCCUUAAGAUUAAAGAUUAUGUUUCUAUGGUCUCAUGCCUGCCUACUGCAAGCUAUUAACUGAAGAGAAAUGUAACUGGGAGUCAAUUUGUAGAAAGGAUAUUAACAAUCAUUUGUGUGUGUGUCACCAUGAAAAAUAGGAGGGAAUCCAGGUGGAGUGAUUGGGGGUACAAACCAGCUUAGUCAUUGUUUGGAAUAUUGGAAAUAAAAGUGUAUCUGUGCUGAAGUAGAAUUUUCUCAUUUGAGAUCAGGAUUGCAUGUGUAACUAAAACAAAAUUGAUAAAGGGCUUAGGAUAUUAGGAUAUUAACUGAUAGACAAAUAAAAGAUCUCAUCUUACUCUCUGCAGCUGCCUGGCACGAAACACUCUUUCCCCAAAACAGCAUCUUGGCAAAUGGAAACAAGUAAAUAUUUAGAAAAAAGUAAGACUGCAUGUGAAUGCAGGAGAGAGGUUGUUUGUUUCUUUACAGUCUGCCUUGGUGCUGUGACUUAGCCUACAAUUGUUUAAAUGGAAUACAUUUUGAAAAUCUA